GUUGUUCGAGGUGGUAAAAUUCGUUGCAACCACGCACCCAUUGGGUCAAAAGAGAUGCAGGAGAGGCGACGCCUGCCGAGUAAC
rnacentral:ncRNA from 12 species